rnacentral:rRNA from 1 species
CCUACGGGUUGCAGCAGUGGGGAAUAUUGCACAAUGGGCGCAAGCCUGGUGCAGCAAUGCCGCGUGUGUGAAGAAGGCCUUCGAGUUGUAAAGCACUUUCAGCGGAGAGGAAGGCGAUAAGGUUAAUAACCUUGUCGAUUGACGUUACCCGCAGAAGAAGCACCGGAUAACUCCGUGCCAGCAGCCGCGGUAAUACGGAGGGUGCAAGCGUUAAUCGGAAUUACUGGGCGUAAAGCGCACGCAGGCGGUCUGUCAAGUCGGAUGUGAAAUCCCGGGGCUCAACCUGGGAACUGCAUUCGAAACUGGCAGGCUAGAGUCUUGUAGAGGGGGGUAGAAUUCCAGGUGUAGCGGUGAAAUGCGUAGAGAUCUGGAGGAAUACCGGUGGCGAAGGCGGCCCCCUGGACAAAGACUGACGCUCAGGUGCGAAAGCGUGGGGAGCAAACAGGAUUAGAUACCCCAGUAGUC